ensembl:lncRNA
UCAGCCUGUUUCACGUCCAGGCAAUGUCCUGUUGCAGCAUAGGAGCUCAGCCUGUUUCACAGUCCAAGGGCACGUCCUGUUGCAGCAUAGGAGCUCAGCCUGUUUCACAGUCCAAGGGCACUGUCCUGUUGCAGCAUAGGAGCUCAGCCUGUUUCACAGUCCAAGGGCAACGUCCUGUUGCAGCAUAGGAGCUCAGCCUGUUUCACAGUCCAAGGGCACUGUCCUGUUGCAGCAUAGGAGCUCAGCCUGUUUCACAGUCCAAGGGCACUGUCCUGUUGCAGCAUAGGAGCUCAGCCUGUUUC